rnacentral:sRNA from 1 species
CUAGGGACUACCACAGACAACUCUCUUGAGUUCUGAAGCCACAGGUCACUACCCUCAUGUCACCAGAAUCCCUGCCUUCUACAAGCCCAGAGGCAAGGACAGAGCAGCGGUGAAAGGACCAUGGAUCCAACUAAACCCUUCUCCCAUGUGCAGUUUAUAAAGCUGACUUCUCAAACUUCUUCCACCUUGAGAAAGAUCACUCCUGCCCCUCGCAACCCGCCUUCUGCCCCAGAUCCCAGACUUCAGGAACAACCCCCUAUCCUCUAGAUCUUGGUUCUCUGGAGCAAUGAGAGGCCACUCCCAUCCAGGUGGCCGGAGACAGCUGUGCCCUUGACAGUCAUUGAUGGGCACAGGAAGGUGGACUUUGCCUUUCUGGUGUGGCAGAGCUUCCCAGAGCGGAUGGUGGGCUUCCUGACGUCGAGCCAUUUCUGGGACGAGGCCCAUGGUGGCUGGGGCUACACUGCUGAGAGGACCAACGAAUUCUCCAUGGUUCUCACCACAGCCGCCUUCUACCAUAGGUAUUACCACACUCUCUUCACCCACUCCCUGCCCAAGGCUCUGAGGACCCUGGCAGAUGAGGCACCCACCUGUGUGGACGUCCUGAUGAAUUUCAUAGUAGCAGCAGUCACCAAGCUGCCCCCUAUCAAGGUGCCCUAUGGCAAGCAGCGCCAGGAGGCUGCUCCACUG